UACGAAGGGGGCUAGCGUUGCUCGGAAUGACUGGGCGUAAAGGGCGCGUAGGCGGAUUGUCCAGUCAGGCGUGAAAUUCCCGGGCUCAACCUGGGGGCUGCGCUUGAGACGUGCGAUCUUGAGUGGGGAAGAGGGUCGUGGAAUUCCCAGUGUAGAGGUGAAAUUCGUAGAUAUUCGCAAGAACACCAGUGGCGAAGGCGGCUCACUGGCCCGAUACUGACGCUGAAGCACGAAAGCGUGGGGAGCAAACAGG
rnacentral:rRNA from 1 species